GACGAACGCUGGCGGCGUGCCUAAUACAUGCAAGUUGAGCGCUGAAGGUUGGUACUUGUACCAACUGGAUGAGCAGCGAACGGGUGAGUAACGCGUGGGGAAUCUGCCUUUGAGCGGGGGACAACAUUUGGAAACGAAUGCUAAUACCGCAUAAAAACUUUAAACACAAGUUUUAAGUUUGAAAGAUGCAAUUGCAUCACUCAAAGAUGAUCCCGCGUUGUAUUAGCUAGUUGGUGAGGUAAAGGCUCACCAAGGCGAUGAUACAUAGCCGACCUGAGAGGGUGAUCGGCCACAUUAGGACUGAGACACGGCCCAAACUCCUACGGGAGGCAGCAGUAGGGAAUCUUCGGCAAUGGACGAAAGUCUGACCGAGCAACGCCGCGUGAGUGAAGAAGGUUUUCGGAUCGUAAAACUCUGUUGGUAGAGAAGAACGUUGGUGAGAGUGGAAAGCUCAUCAAGUGACGGUAACUACCCGGAAAGGGACGGCUAACUACGU
rnacentral:rRNA from 1 species